rnacentral:rRNA from 1 species
AUGGCCAAAAUAAUUGGAACAACACUUUUACCUUUGCUGUUUUUCACUGGGAGAAACUUGCCCAGCUCUGCCAAUAUUUUUGCCCAAUAUUCACCAGAAAUUUUGCCUGAUCAGCAUGAAGAGUUGCAGAUACAAUUACGUUUUCAGAAUUUCCCCAUGAUCUUUUGCCUUGUUUUCGUCUCUAUUUUACUCUGUUUUUUCGCUGUGGGAGGAGAGCUCCACAACGCUAGGCCAUUGCGUCCAGCGGUGGCUGGGGAAGGAGUUGUACGGGGGAUCUGGCUGGUGGGCGUAGGAUUUUCUGUGCUGGAUGGAGGGGAGGAUCACGUGAGUGAAAGGAUGGCUGGUUGUCAGGACGUGGCAACAAGAUGGGGAAGCUGGACUUGCCUUCUUUAG